rnacentral:rRNA from 1 species
UACGUAGGGUGCAGGCGUUAAUCGGAAUUACUGGGCGUAAAGCGUGCGCAGGCGGUUUCUUAAGUCAGAUGUGAAAGCCCCGGGCUUAACCUGGGAACUGCGUUUGAAACUGGGAGACUUGAGUGCGGCAGAGGGGGGUGGAAUUCCACGUGUAGCAGUGAAAUGCGUAGAUAUGUGGGGGAACACCGAUGGCGAAGGCAGCCCCCUGGGUUAACACUGACGCUCAUGCACGAAAGCGUGGGGAGCAAACAGG